GUGGGGAAUAUUCCGCAAUGGACGAAAGUCUGACGGAGCAACGCCGCGUGAGUGAUGAAGGUUUUCGGACUGUAAAGCUCUGUUGUUUAGGACGAAAGUGCCUGUUGCAAAUAGUUACAGGUAUUGACGGUACUGAACGAGGAAGCCACGGCUAACUACGUGCCAGCAGCCGCGGUAAUACGUAGGUGGCAAGCGUUGUCCGGAAUUAUUGGGCGUAAAGAGCAUGUAGGCGGGAAUCUAAGUCUGUUGUGAAAAUGCGGGGCUCAACCCCGUAUUGCGAUGGAAACUGGGUUUCUUGAGUGCAGGAGAGGAAAGGGGAAUUCCCAGUGUAGCGGUGAAAUGCGUAGAUAUUGGGAGGAACACCAGUGGCGAAGGCGCCUUUCUGGACUGUGUCUGACGCUGAGAUGCGAAAGCCGGGGUAGCGAACGGGAUUAGAUACCCGGGUAGUCC
rnacentral:rRNA from 1 species